AACGCAAAUUGCACUUCAGGGCAUUCCCUGGAGUACACCUGGCUGAGCAUCAUGAACUCUCUUCGUCCUCCCCUUCUGAGGGGGGGGAUGAGAAAAUGAAGUUGUCCCUUCCCCUGGCAAGUUCUCUGCCUCUGGGGAAGCGUCCUUCAAAAAAGUUUUGGACCAAAAACCCUGUUUCUUAGGGUUUUCACAUCUCUGUCCCACAAACGAUGUGUUAAGUAAAUGGGGGGGUUUCCCCCAUGGACUCUCAUCGCUUUUGCGGUUUUUGACUGGAGCGCUGUGGAUUCUCCUUUGGGGGCUUUUUUUGCUCUGUUUUGUGGAAAACAAACUUUUGACCAAUGAUCUCAGCUCAGGUGAGACUACCCGCUGAACUUAA
rnacentral:misc_RNA from 1 species